GUUUAACUUGAUUUUAACUAAGAUUACUAAAACUAAAACUUAAAUAAAAAUUGCUACAAAAUAUAUAGACAUAUUUUAAAAAAGACUAAAAAAAUUAAAAAAUAGUAUUUACACUGCGUACAGUGUGUUUUUUACUCAUUUUGUGUAUAUUUACUGUAGUGUAUAAAUAAAGCGUAUACUGAACGUAGUGCACUCGCAUUCUUUUCCACUGGAUGAAUCAGAAAUGACAGGAUUUAUUAAUUUUUUUAUUUUUUUUACUAAUAAGUGAAUCUGACAAAGAUUGACAAAAUAUUUCACACUAAACUGAAUAUGUAAAAUAAAGAUAUUUAUUUUCUAGAUGAUAGCUGGACUGGAUUCAUGAAACAUGAUGGUCAUCAUCAUACUGCAUACUGUUUCAAACACUAUUUUGUUAUAGUAUGCAGUUUAUAGUGUACACUGUGCAGUAAACUAGUGUUUAUGAAAACUGAAUGGGGUUGUUAUUGUUAACUAAAACGAUCAGAAACAGUUUUGUUAAUUGAAAUAAAGCUGAAAUAUAAUAUAAACAUCAGAAAAUUAUAAAUGUUGUGUGGGCAACUAACUAGAUUACCUUUAAUUUGAAGCACUAAAAUUACUAACUGGAAAUAAAUAAAUAAUUUAAAGGGAUAGUUCACCCAAAAAAAUAUAAAUUAAUACAAUUCUGUCAUAAUUUACUCAUCCUUAGGUUGCUGAACAUAAAGAAGAUAUUUUGAAGAAUGCUGGUGAACAAACAGUUGACAGUAAUGUUUGACUUCCAUAGUCAUUUUAAUCCCAUUCUAAAAAAGGAAAAAAAAUAAUAGUGUAUUUGUGCAUCUGAUGCAGUUUAUCAGCUCAUCAUUAAAGCUCAUUAAAUCAGUCAUGUGAUCAGAAUAUGUGAUGAAUCUUGUGUCUGAUUCUUUCACAGUCAGAUGUGUCAUUACUGCAGUAAAUGAACGUGGUGAAGGCUCUCGUCCACAUUACUGUGUUUCUCUUCCUGCUGCUGGUUUUUCAGACUCCUGACAGUGAAAUGGAUUAAAGCAGAUGGUGAUGGAGACUCUUUCAGAUCAAGUGUGUACAUUGAGAACACUGAAGAGAGCAUCAUUAUGAAGUAUUGUCAAAGCGCCAGCCGUUCUCCAAAAUCACCUGCCGUCAAAAGACCAAAACCGUCCCGAGGCUCGUCUAAUCUUCCUGUAGAUUCUUCAUCAUAAAUCAUUUUUAAGAGACCAUCACGGAUCCUCCAGUAGCUCUUAAACACACUUGGAUGAAAUGCACAAUGUUUUCAUCAGCGUCUGGAGCUUCAGUCAGAAUUGACCGUGAGAAGAACAUUUCAUCAGUCCAUCAGUCGUCAUAAUUAAUAAAGAUCUCAAGUCUCAUGAUAACA
ensembl:lncRNA